rnacentral:rRNA from 1 species
ACUCCUACGGGAGGCAGCAGGCGCGCAAAUUACCCAAUCCUAAUUCAGGGAGGUAGUGACAAUAAAUAACGAUACAGGGCCCAUUCGGGUCUUGUAAUUGGAAUGAGUACAAUGUAAAUACCUUAACGAGGAACAAUUGGAGGGCAAGUCUGGUGCCAGCAGCCGCGGUAAUACA